CCAAUAUGCAUUUUCUCCCCAGAAGAUCCCUACGAUGAAGAAUGUCCCAAAGCCCCUCAACUGAUCCAGCUGGUUAAGAAGAGGUGGAAGCUGGGACCUUGUAAUGAGAAGAGGGCAGUCCACAGUUGCCGGAGGAACUGAGUCAUACAUUCACAGGAAUCGCUUCACGAUGAAGGAGAAUGAAUUCCGGGAGAUAAAAGCAGAUGAAUCCAAUGAGGAAGGGGUUUAAGAAUGAAGAGGCUGAAGGGAAAUCAAGCCUUCGGAGUGAAGCAUCCAAUCGUGGUCUCUAUCUAUUAACAUAUCUCCAGACAGACACUGAGUGGCAGGCAUCUUUUAGCACAACCUGUGAGCCCGGAGGUAAGACACCAACUAUUAACUCAACAGUGACCCCCACUCUCCACAGGUUUCAGUGGCAAGAAAGAGAAUAAGAAGCAUGACCUCUGUCAGAAUCCAAAUUCAGGCUCUUUAAACACUCUCCCUCAGCUCUUUGCUAAGCUUAGGAAGAGUUCAGUAGUAUAUCCACUACGUUGCCAAGGGCAUGAAGAUACAAUCAUCAUAGACUACACUUGCACAUGCACAUAUAGGGAUGGGAGUGGUCUUGGCACAUGUGUGCACAUGUGCCUGCAUGUGUGGACAUCAGAGACUAUC
rnacentral:sRNA from 1 species